GGGAGGCACCCUAGAAAAAAACCGCAAAAGAGUCCUUCUACCGCUGCUGUUGCUUCGAGUUGUGACCCACAUUUUCCCUAUAGCUUUCCAGAUCCAGACCAAUCCCUAUACCGGUGUUUAGAGUGUAUGAAUGUAUGAAUGGCAACCAACUUCCCUUAUAACUGGCUCUCACCUUUAGCAGCACCGGUGUCACCGGAAGUGGAACCGGAAAAAUGCCUAGAUGACGUUAAAGGUCUCCCUAGAGAGGAAGAAAAAUACGGGGCGGCUCGACUAGUGCCGCCAUCGAGACCGUGGAGUAUGCGGCUGAAUAAAGUUGAAUCCCUCAUUUUGUUACGAGCUAGA